rnacentral:sRNA from 1 species
GCUGGGUGUGAUGGCGCACACCUGUAAUCCUAGUGGCUUGGGAGGCCGAGGUAGGAGGAUUGCAAGUUCAAAGCCAGCCUCAGCAACUUAGCGAGGCCCUAAGCAACUUAGUGAGAUCCUGUCUGUA